UACGUAGGGUGCGAGCGUUGUCCGGAAUUAUUGGGCGUAAAGGGCUCGUAGGCGGUUUGUCGCGUCGGGCGUGAAAUCCUACGGCUUAACUGUGGGCUUGCUUUCGAUACGGGCAGACUAGAGGUAUGCAGGGGAGAACGGAAUUCCUGGUGUAGCGGUGAAAUGCGCAGAUAUCAGGAGGAACACCGGUGGCGAAGGCGGUUCUCUGGGCAUGAUCUGACGCUGAGGAGCGAAAGUGUGGGGAGCGAACAGG
rnacentral:rRNA from 1 species